rnacentral:rRNA from 1 species
AAUCAACGCUGGCGGCGUGCCUCAGACAUGCAAGUCGAACGAUUAAACUUCCCUUCGGGGACGAUAUAAAGUGGCGCGCGGGUGAGUAACACGUAGGUAAUGUACCUUUGGGUGGGGAAUAACUUAGGGAAACUUAAGCUAAUACCGCAUAAUGCAGCGGCUCCUUCGGGAGACAGUUGUUAAAGAUUUAUCGCCUAAAGAGCAGCCUGCGGCAGAUUAGCUAGUUGGUAAGGUAACGGCUUACCAAGGCUACGAUCUGUAUCCGACCUGAGAGGGUGGUCGGACACACUGACACUGAAUAGCGGGUCAGACUCCUACGGGAGGCAGCAGUCGGGAAUUUUGGGCAAUGGGCGAAAGCCUGACCCAGCAACGCCGCGUGAAGGAUGAAGUCUUUCGGGAUGUAAACUUCGUAAGAAUAGGAAGAAUAAAUGACGGUACUAUGUGUAAGGUCCGGCUAACUACGUG